GUCGAGGCAUAAUACAUUGCAACCGGUAGCUGCUGCACUUAAUUGUUUUGGAUGAAGCAAAUGUUGAGUAAUUAUGGGAUAAAUCAAGGCACCAUGAUCGUGUUUUGUUAUAACACCAACGCUAUUAACAUUUCCAAAAAUCCUGUUCAACAUUCCAGGACUAAACAUAUUGAUAUUCGUCAUCACUUCAUUCGUGAACUUGUUGAGUCCAAUGUGGUAUCCCUUGUACACAUUGCUACAGAAAAUCAACUUGCAGAUCUGUUCACUAAACCUUUAGAUGGUCUGAGGUUCGAGUCACUUAGGAACGUUGUUGGUGUUUGUGUACAUCCUUGACCAGUUUUAUAGGAACAUUCAAGUACAAUUCACCUCAGUGUCCAUUUUUGCAUUCAUUUCAUUGCAUGUUCAUUUUGUUUACAUUUGUUUUUUUCAUAUGUUUUUCAUCCAAUCGUAUAAAAAAAAUAAAAAAAUUCAGGUGACACGACUGUGUGGCGCAUUCAUGUUAAAAAAAAUUUAAAACAAAAAUUAAAAAAAAAAUUAGAAAUUUCUACAGCAUGAUAUACAAUUCUAAAAGUUGUAUGUUGUGACCUUGUAUGUGCUAAAAUGGAUAAGUUGUAGCAUUAUUUCCAUUGCUUGAUUAGGUCAUCAUGGAGUACUUAGUAUAUGUGUCUUCAUGUACCAUCUGUACUGCACUCACUUUGAAUUUGUUAGUGGAACUCUACCGUGUGUGUGAGAUUUAGGAUGGCUGUCACAUAUUAAUAGGGUGACUUUGAACAUGAAUUGACCAAUUUUUAGUAGACUUAAACCCGAAAAAACUUCCCCCAUUAUAUGAAAGCUCAUAUCUGAAUAUUCUUCUUCGGGGCCUAUUUGACUCGAGCAAUUAAGCAUGCAAGGUCUCUUAAAACCUGGUGUCUAUGGUCAACUGAUUUGGGUUAACAAGCCUAAAGCUCACUACAGGGGUCAUCUUAGUCCCCUAAUGGAGAAGAACUUGAACUUAAGAUGAAAGAUUAAUGAGCUAGAAAAAUUAGAAAAAUGUGAUAAAUAUGAAGAAUUGGAAUAAUAUAAAAAUCUGAAAAAUAUAAAAGCUCAUAGUAAAGGGAGAGAUAAAUAAAAAUGAUAAGUAUAGGUCUUAUUGCACAUUACAUGGUUUGACUUUCAUUAGUAAGAGAAUAUACUUAUUGACAGUGAUUGACAUGUCUCUUCUUACAAAAUUGAUGUUUGGAGUCCCACAUGCAUUGGACUAGUGACACCUUACACACAUGAGUCACUUGUACUUUGUACUCCAUUCUGAUCUGAACUGAGUAUGUGGGAAGGUCUAUGACUUAUUGAUUUUAUCUUUGCAUUCUAUCAACUGCAUUUUUAAGUUAUUAUGUGUUAUUGCUCAAAUUGUACUUGACACGAUAUCCUUCAGCAUUUGUGACAAAAAAGGGGAGAGAAAAGUGUAACUGAGGGGGAGGGAUAAAUACAUUGAUUUACUGCAUAACAUUUAUGAGAGUUCGAAGUACGGGAAAGCAUUGCAUUGCAUUCCAUAUCAUAUUCAUUGCUGUUUCAGUUUUGAUGUUUAGUGAUAUUGGUGUUUCGAUUGGUGUUUUGAUUAGCAUCAAUGUCACGUCUCAAACUAGCAUGUUGAAUUGUGAUUAAGUGCUUUAAUUUUAUAUUUCCUGUAUCACGUACUUUUAAACUGGGUAUGUGAGCUUUUAGAUUUCAGGAAACAGGUACAACAUGGAAUGCAAGACUCAGGGAUUCGAAUUUUGGGUGUUUGGGUCGUUUUAAUUGAUUGUAAUUCCUUGACUUAAAUUUGUAUAGUUUUGUCACAAAAUGCCAAAGGGGGGAUUGUUAGGUUUUUAAUUGUAAUUGGC
rnacentral:lncRNA from 1 species